rnacentral:rRNA from 1 species
AGAGUUUGAUGCUGGCUCAGGACGAACGCUGGCGGCGUGCCUAACACAUGCAAGUCGAGCGAGGCAUUUAUGCCUAGCGGCGGACGGGUGAGUAACACGUGGGUAACCUGCCUCAGAGAGGGGAAUAGCCUUCCGAAAGGAAGAUUAAUACCGCAUAAUAUAUACUUUUAGCAUUAUGAGUAUAUCAAAGGAGCAAUCCGCUUUGAGAUGGGCCCGCGGCGCAUUAGCUAGUUGGAGAGGUAACGGCUCACCAAGGCGACGAUGCGUAGCCGACCUGAGAGGGUGAUCGGCCACAUUGGAACUGAGACACGGUCCAGACUCCUACGGGAGGCAGCAGUGGGGAAUAUUGCACAAUGGGGGAAACCCUGAUGCAGCAACGCCGCGUGAAUGAUGAAGGCCUUCGGGUCGUAAAGUUCUUUGAUGGGGGACGAUAAUGACGGUACCCCAAAAACAAGCCACGGCUAACUACGUGCCAGCAGCCGCGGUAAUACGUAGGUGGCGAGCGUUGUCCGGACUUACUGGGCGUAAAGGAUGCGUAGGUGGAAAUUUAAGUGGGAUGUGAAAUCCCCGGGCUCAACCCGGGAACUGCAUUCCAAACUGGAUUUCUAGAGUGCAGGAGAGGAAA